CGAACGGAAGGCCCCUUCGGGGGUACUCGAGUGGCGAACGGGUGAGUAACACGUGGGUGAUCUGCCCUGCACUUUGGGAUAAGCCUGGGAAACUGGGUCUAAUACCGAAUAGGACUCCGGACUGCAUGGUCUGGGGUGGAAAGCUUUUGCGGUGUGGGAUGGGCCCGCGGCCUAUCAGCUUGUUGGUGGGGUGAUGGCCUACCAAGGCGACGACGGGUAGCCGGCCUGAGAGGGUGUCCGGCCACACUGGGACUGAGAUACGGCCCAGACUCCUACGGGAGGCAGCAGUGGGGAAUAUUGCACAAUGGGCGCAAGCCUGAUGCAGCGACGCCGCGUGAGGGAUGACGGCCUUCGGGUUGUAAACCUCUUUCGCCAGGGACGAAGCGCAAGUGACGGUACCUGGAGAAGAAGCACCGGCCAACUACGUGCCAGCAGCCGCGGUAAUACGUAGGGUGCGAGCGUUGUCCGGAAUUACUGGGCGUAAAGAGCUCGUAGGUGGUUUGUCGCGUUGUUCGUGAAAACUCACAGCUUAACUGUGGGCGUGCGGGCGAUACGGGCAGACUGGAGUACUGCAGGGGAGACUGGAAUUCCUGGUGUAGCGGUGGAAUGCGCAGAUAUCAGGAGGAACACCGGUGGCGAAGGCGGGUCUCUGGGCAGUAACUGACGCUGAGGAGCGAAAGCGUGGGGAGCGAACAGGAUUAGAUACCCUGGUAGUCCACGCCGUAAACGGUGGGUACUAGGUGUGGGUUUCCUUCCUUGGGAUCCGUGCCGUAGCUAACGCAUUAAGUACCCCGCCUGGGGAGUACGGCCGCAAGGCUAAAACUCAAAGGAAUUGACGGGGGCCCGCACAAGCGGCGGAGCAUGUGGAUUAAUUCGAUGCAACGCGAAGAACCUUACCUGGGUUUGACAUGCACAGGACGCCGGCAGAGAUGUCGGUUCCCUUGUGGCCUGUGUGCAGGUGGUGCAUGGCUGUCGUCAGCUCGUGUCGUGAGAUGUUGGGUUAAGUCCCGCAACGAGCGCAACCCUUGUCUCAUGUUGCCAGCACGUUAUGGUGGGGACUCGUGAGAGACUGCCGGGGUCAACUCGGAGGAAGGUGGGGAUGACGUCAAGUCAUCAUGCCCCUUAUGUCCAGGGCUUCACACAUGCUACAAUGGCCGGUACAAAGGGCUGCGAUGCCGUGAGGUGGAGCGAAUCCUUUCAAAGCCGGUCUCAGUUCGGAUCGGGGUCUGCAACUCGACCCCGUGAAGUCGGAGUCGCUAGUAAUCGCAGAUCAGCAACGCUGCGGUGAAUACGUUCCCGGGCCUUGUACACACCGCCCGUCACGUCAUGAAAGUCGGUAACACCCGAAGCCGGUGGCCUAACCCUUGUGG
rnacentral:rRNA from 1 species